rnacentral:ncRNA from 1 species
CCGGAGCCAUUGUGGCUCCGGCCGGUUGCGCGGGCCCUCGGACCCUCAGGGUAGGCGAGGGUUCGAGGGCACGAGUUCGAGGCCAACCUGGUCCACAUGGGUUGAAAAAAAAAUUUUUUU